CACGUAGUUAGCCGGGGGCUUUCUCGUUAGGUACCGUCACCGUACCGCCCUAUUCGAACGGUACUUCUUCUUCCCUAACAACAGAGCUUUACGAUCCGAAGACCUUCUUCGCUCACGCGGCGUCGCUCCGUCAGACUUUCGUCCAUUGCGGAAGAUUCCCUACUGCUGCCUCCCGUAGGAGUCUGGGCCGUGUCUCAGUCCCAGUGUGGCCGGUCACCCUCUCAGGCCGGCUACGCAUCGUCGCCUUGGUGAGCCGUUACCUCACCAACUAGCUAAUGCGCCGCGGGCCCAUCCGUAAGUGGUAGCAAAAGCCACCUUCAACCAAAGACCAUGCGGUCUUCGGUGCUAUCCGGUAUUAGCCCCGGUUUCCCGGAGUUAUCCCCGGUCUUACGGGCAGGUUACCCACGUGUUACUCACCCGUCCGCCGCUAACCAAACAGAAGCAAGCUUCCGUUCGGUCCGCUCGACUUGCAUGUAUUAGGCACGCCGCCAGCGUUCGUCCUGAGCCAGGAUCAAACUCU
rnacentral:rRNA from 1 species